rnacentral:rRNA from 1 species
AGCGAACGUUAGCGGCGGGCCUAACACAUGCAAGUCGAGCGGGAAAGUGGCUUCGGCCACGAGUAAAGCGGCGGACGGGUGAGUAACACGUAGGUAAUCUUCCCUUGAGCGGGGGACAACGAGCCGAAAGGCUCGCUAAUACCGCAUACGUUUCCAGAGACUCUGGUCUUUGGAAGGAAAGCUAGGCCGCCAGGGCCGGCACCCGAGGAGGAGCCGGCGUCGCAUCAGCUAGUUGGUGGGGUAACGGCCUACCAAGGCGAAGACGCGUAGCUGGUCUGAGAGGAUGAUCAGCCACACUGGGACUGAGACACGGCCCAGACUCCUACGGGAGGCAGCAGUGGGGAAUAUUGGACAAUGGGCGCAAGCCUGAUCCAGCCACGCCGCGUGAGUGAUGAAGGCCUUCGGGUCGUAAAGCUCUGUGGGGAGGGACGAACCGCUGCACGUUCAUAGCGUGCAGCAUGACGGUACCUCCUUAGCAAGCACCGGCUAACUUCGUGCCAGCAGCCGCCGUAAGAC